ACAAUUGGGAAACCCUAAUAAUACCUUGAGAAACAUGAUGAUAAUACAUGAACAGGACUCUGCCUCAAGGUGCUGCUGUGUGCAUGGAACCGACCACCUGAAGUCUACUUAAGAAAUACUCAGAGAAGAUGUAGAAGAACCACGGGAGUGAAAAACUGUAAGUCCCUGUGAAAAGGGAUUUGGGACACGAGGACGAGGCACUGGCUUCUCUACCCUCACUGCCUAGGACUGCCAGCUGAUCCAGGACUGCUGUGUGCUGAAAUGCAGAAGUACUUAGAGCUCAUCAGCCAAAACCACUAUUGAAAACCAUCUGAAGAGGCAUUGGGUUUGGCUUUGCCAGAAAUAACUCUGGACACCAAGACAUUUUAACAUUAAGAAGGGUGUGGCAUUCAGGAUGUAUAGUGCUUGUCUCAAACAAUCCAAGAGAUAAGUAAUGGACUGUGGCACUCAGGAUAUCUGUUGUCUUGUGGCAUCUGAGAGUUAAACAACAUUUGUUGAUGGACUAAAGAGACGUCUCAGCAAGCCACCCAACCAUUUUGCUUCCUCUCCUGCGAUAAGUACCUGAGAACUGGGGAGUUCAGUGUGGGACAUGCUGAGAUCGGAGACAAAGGAGUUCUAAAGCUGGCACUGGGAGCAGAAUAUCUAGUGAUAACCAGGCCCUGAUACCUCAUGAAAACCACCAACUUAGCAGGACAAGACAGAGUGCCGGUCUCAAGCUACUUCCUAGGACCAAAACUCCACUGCAACAAACUAAUCCUGUGGUGCCAGUUGUCUCAACCUCCUCUUUUGUAGUGGCUGAUCUCAUCAAUUAGCCAAACAAAGACUACAUAGCCCCUGGCAUCAUACCUGCCCCCUGCUAUCUCUGACAAGCAUGGAGAAGAUAGAAGGAUUUUCUCCCUUAUUCAGGGAGAAAAGUGGGGGUGCAGUGAGCAAGAACUGUAUAAAAAUCUGGAACACUAUGUGUGCAGAGAAGCACUUCCCCACCAGGAACCACUUCCCCACUGACGACAUCGCUGGACCGUGGUUCUAACUAUGCUCUUGCUUUGCUGUCCUCUGUAUCUCUGCUUUCUCCUUUCUUUUCUGUCUCUGUUUUCCUCCCGGUCCUAUCCGCUCUAGGGUCUUUGCUGUGUUACUCUAAUAAAAGGUUGUUGUGCGCGUGA